UUUUAAAGCGAGUUAUGCGCCUUUAAAGUUGGUGGUGAGACGCAGAGAAGCUAGACUGUUGUUUUCUCUGCCGCCUCUCACUCUCUCACCUCCAACUUUGAAGGCGCAUAACUCACUUGUCUU
rnacentral:sRNA from 13 species